rnacentral:rRNA from 1 species
GACGAACGCUGGCGGCGUGCCUAAUACAUGCAAGUAGAACGCUGAAGAGAGGAGCUUGCUCUUCUUGGAUGAGUUGCGAACGGGUGAGUAACGCGUAGGUAACCUGCCUUGUAGCGGGGGAUAACUAUCGGAAACGAUAGCUAAUACCGCAUAACAAUGGAUGACACAUGUCAUUUAUUUGAAAGGGGCAAUUGCUCCACUACAAGAUGGACCUGCGUUGUAUUAGCUAGUAGGUGAGGUAAUGGCUCAACUAGGCGACGAUACAUAGCCGACCUGAGAGGGUGUUCGGCCACUCUGGGACCGAGACACGGCCCAGAUUCCUACGGGAGGCAGCAGUAGGGAAUCUUCGGCAAUGGGGGCGACCCUGACCGAGCAACGCCGCGUGAGUGAAGGAGGUUUUCGGAUCGUAAAGCUCUGUUGUAAGUCAAGAACGGGUGUGAGAGUGGAAAGUUCACACUGUGACGGUAGCUUACCAGAAAGGGACGGCUAACUACGUG